AUUGAACGCUGGCGGCAUGCUUUACACAUGCAAGUCGAACGGUAACAGGCCUUCGGGUGCUGACGAGUGGCGCACGGGUGAGUAAUGCAUCGGAACGUGCCCAGAGGUGGGGGAUAACGCAGCGAAAGCUGUGCUAAUACCGCAUGUGAUCUGAGGAUGAAAGCGGGGGACCAGGCAGCAAUGUUUGGCCUCGCGCCUUUGGAGCGGCCGAUGUCAGAUUAGGUAGUUGGUGGGGUAAAGGCCUACCAAGCCGACGAUCUGUAGCUGGUCUGAGAGGACGACCAGCCACACUGGGACUGAGACACGGCCCAGACUCCUACGGGAGGCAGCAGUGGGGAAUUUUGGACAAUGGGCGCAAGCCUGACCCAGCAAUGCCGCGUGCGGGAAGAAGGCCUUCGGGUUGUAAACCGCUUUUGUACGGAACGAAAAGGCUCUGGCUAAUACCUGGGGCUGAUGACGGUACCGUAAGAAUAAGCACCGGCUAACUACGUG
rnacentral:rRNA from 1 species